rnacentral:misc_RNA from 1 species
GAUGAAGAACGUAGCGAAGUGCGAUAAGUAGUGUGAAUUGCAGAAUUCAGUGAAUCAUCGAAUCUUUGAACGCACAUUGCGCCCCUUGGUAUCCCGAGGGGCAUGCCUGUUCGAGCGUCAUUUCACCACUCAAGCCUGGCUUGGUGUUGGGCGACGUCCCCUUUGGGGACGCGCCUCGAAACGCUCGGCGGCGUGGCACCGGCUUUAAGCGUAGCAGAAUCUUUCGCUUUGGAAGUCGGGGCCCCGUCUGCCGGAAGACCUACUCGCAAGGUUGACCUCGGAUCAGGCAGGGAUACCCGCUGAACUUAAGCAUAUCAAUAAGCGGAGGA